rnacentral:rRNA from 1 species
CCGCGUCUGAUUAGCUAGUUGGUGGGGUAAAAGCCUACCAAGGCGACGAUGCGUAGCCGACCUGAGAGGGUGAUCGGCCACAUUGGAACUGAGACACGGUCCAGACUCCUACGGGAGGCAGCAGUGGGGAAUAUUGCACAAUGGAGGGAACUCUGAUGCAGCGACGCCGCGUGAGCGAUGAAGGUUUUCGGAUCGUAAAGCUCUGUCCUAAGGGACGAUAAUGACGGUACCUUAGGAGGAAGCCCCGGCUAACUAC